GUUAACGGUCAUACCACGUUGAAAAUAUCAGUUCUCGUCCGAUCACUGCAAUCAAGCAAUGUUGGGCCGGGUUAAUAUUUGGAUGGGUGACCACUUGAGAACACCAAACCCGUGUGCUGUUGCCA
rnacentral:rRNA from 1 species